rnacentral:rRNA from 1 species
CCUGGCUCAGGAUGAACGCUGGCGGCGUGCUUAACACAUGCAAGUCGAACGAUGAAGGGGGAGCUUGCUCCUCUGGAUUAGUGGCGAACGGGUGAGUAACACGUGAGCAAUCUGCCCCUGACUCUGGGAUAAGCGCUGGAAACGGCGUCUAAUACCGGAUACGAGCCGAGCAGGCAUCUGCAUCGGUUGGAAAGAACUUCGGUCAGGGAUGAGCUCGCGGCCUAUCAGCUUGUUGGUGAGGUAAUGGCUCACCAAGGCGACGACGGGUAGCCGGCCUGAGAGGGUGACCGGCCACACUGGGACUGAGACACGGCCCAGACUCCUACGGGAGGCAGCAGUGGGGAAUAUUGCACAAUGGGCGCAAGCCUGAUGCAGCAACGCCGCGUGAGGGACGAAGGCCUUCGGGUUGUAAACCUCUUUUAGCAGGGAAGAAGCGAGAGUGACGGUACCUGCAGAAAAAGCACCGGCUAACUACGUGCCAGCAGCCGCGGUAAUACGUAGGGUGCGAGCGUUAUCCGGAAUUAUUGGGCGUAAAGAGCUCGUAGGCGGUCUGUCGCGUCUGCUGUGAAAACCCGAGGCUCAACCUCGGGCUUGCAGUGGGUACGGGCAGACUAGAGUGCGGUAGGGGAGAUUGGAAUUCCUGGUGUAGCGGUGGAAUGCGCAGAUAUCAGGAGGAACACCGAUGGCGAAGGCAGAUCUCUGGGCCGUUACUGACGCUGAGGAGCGAAAGCGUGGGGAGCAAACAGGCUUAGAUACCCUGGUAGUCCACGCCGUAAACGUUGGGAACUAGAUGUGGGGACCAUUCCACGGUCUCCGUGUCGUAGCUAACGCAUUAAGU